rnacentral:tRNA from 13 species
GCUGGUGUAGCUCAGUGGUAGAGCAGCUGAUUUGUAAUCAGCCGGUCGCGGGUUCAAAUCCCAUCACCAGCUUCA